rnacentral:rRNA from 1 species
UACGUAGGGUGCAAGCGUUGUCCGGAAUUAUUGGGCGUAAAGAGCUCGUAGGCGGUCUGUCGCGUCUGGUGUGAAAAUCCAGGGCUUAACCCUGGACCUGCAUCGGGUACGGGCAGACUAGAGUGCGGUAGGGGAGAUCGGAAUUCCUGGUGUAGCGGUGAAAUGCGCAGAUAUCAGGAGGAACAGCCGAUGGCGAAGGCAGGUCUCUGGGCAUUAACUGACGCUGAGGAGCGAAAGCAUGGGGAGCGAACAGGGA